CAGUCGCCGCGGUAAAACGAAGGGGGCUAGCGUUGUUCGGAUUAACUGGGCGUAAAGGGUGCGUAGGCGGGUCUUUAAGUCAGAGGUGAAAUCCUGGAGCUCAACUCCAGAACUGCCUUUGAUACUGAGGAUCUUGAGUUCGGGAGAGGUGAGUGGAACUGCGAGUGUAGAGGUGAAAUUCGUAGAUAUUCGCAAGAACACCAGUGGCGAAGGCGGCCAUCUGGGACAACACUGACGCUGAGGCACGAAAGCGUGGGGAGCAAACAGGAUUAGAUACCCCCGUAGUCCCUGUCUCUUAUAC
rnacentral:rRNA from 1 species